rnacentral:misc_RNA from 1 species
CGUUACUUACCCGAAUUCUUCAGAGCAUAGAAGCCACAGAUAAGUCCACAAACUUCAUUUGAAGACGUAACUUUGCCGUAUAAUUGAAAUGGAGGACGAGUACCGUGAGUUUACCGUUCCUUACGUGCAUGUAAAUGACGAAGAAAAUUCUCUUAAAGGCCGUCUAUUGCUGGUAACGAAGCGUGUUUUGACCUCGACCACGGUGAGGGUACUGUGUUGCGUUGCUUAUGCAAUGUUUUUCAUCUGGCAAGUGAUUGGUUUGAUCUUGUACUCCAUCCGUGCCUUUGAGGCAACUCUCACUGCCAGACGCGCAAGCUUCCAACCAGCAGACAUCAUCUCGUUUGAUCGCUCUGAACAGCUGGAGCUCGCUUGGGUAAUUUCCCAGCCUUUGUUGUCAGCUCACUCCAGAUUGCAAUUCAUGUUUAUGGCAUAGAAAAGAGCGGUUCAAUAUCUGAUGAUUGUUUUAAUGCAAUUAUUGCCGUAAGGAGAUUUACAGAGGUUGUAUUCUCUUACAGAGUUUAUAUUUUUUACUGGAAUAAAUUGUUUUCUGAUCCCAGAAAUAUUCUUUGUCACUACGACUAUUUGGAAGAAGUUACAAAAGAAAUUAGAACGAGUUAACGGUCAGUUAAAGAAACAAGUGUGCUUUAAUUCUGCUAGUGUACGUUUCAGAAAAUAGCUGGAGAAAAGGUGCCAUCAGUUCACAGCAGCUGUAAGUUUUUGUGCGAGUGAGACUUCUGUGAGUUUGAAGUGCCUUUGGUGUAGGUUUAUAGUCAAAUCCUAAUUUGGGAUUAAUUUCCAAUUUUAGAAUGUCUUAAUGACUAAGUUGAGUAAUUGAAGUAGUUAUAAUGGAUAUGUUUGGAAAAUUUUUCUGACCUUAGCUUUGAUCUCCAUAAAAGUUCCAAACAAUGUAAUGUGUCUUUACUUUUAGCUCUGCCUUCCACGUUUCUGUUUCUCAAUCAUGUGGGAUUGUAUACACUUCAAUGUGCAAUUAUAGGAAGUAUCUAGAAUCAUCAAAGGCCAGCAUUUUUUUGUUGAAAACCUAGAUAUUCUUGUGUUAACUAUGAAGAGAAUAUAAGUCCAUAUUCUCCCACAGCUAUCUAAUGAAUUAGUGUACGUCUCAGAGCGUAGUAGAGCUGAAUUCAUCACACAAACAGUAGCCGUGAUGCAGUAGAAGAAUAAAGUAUUUUGUGUUUAUGUAUAUUCGUGUAAAUAAUGUCGUAAUUCUCUUAUUUUGGGCGCAAUAAUUUCGUCAGUAAACACUCAUUAUUAUAUAAACUGUGGUGUUUUAUAAGGUUUUCCAGAACUGGGAAAAGUCUUAACAGCACACGUGUAAAAUUACGAAAACUGACCUUUCGCGCCACUCGGUCAGGUUCAUGAGUGGAACGCUUACGGAUAGUGACGUUCAAGAUUUCCUAAUAACAGAAGAAAACCAGAAUAUCACUGGCUAUGGUAAUGGCAUUUCUUGCGGUUGAGAAUUAAAAUCGACAACCAGUAAAUUUGCUAAUAGGCGAUAUCGGUUUUGUACCAGAAAUUUUUUCUGUCGGUAUGGAAAAAGUUGAUAACUGAGAAUUUCGUGAAUUGAAAGUUACGCCCAUUGUUUGUUUUUAUAGUGAUUCAACAUAUUUUUUGAAUGAGCCUUAUCGCCCUCGCACUUUACGACCCUUCUUCGCGUACAAUACAUUCUCGUGUUCAACUCGCCAGAACAAAUCGAAACUGUAUCUCCUCUUUGGAAUCUCUUUAGUAAGCUUGAAAAAUCAUGGAAGUUUUUAAUGUUAUAUUUUUAACAAAACUAGC